rnacentral:lncRNA from 1 species
UAGAAUCCAACAUGAGGUUUCGUUCCUUCCCUCUGCAGCCACAAGGGGCCUCUGGCCACAGCAGUGCCCAUCAGCUGUGCCAGACAGAUGUGUUCCAUUCUCUGUUCCUGCUCCUGGGGGUCACAAUGGGGACUGGAGGAGCUGCUGGUGUGGCAGGAGCAGUGGCCACCCAGGCACUCCACAACUUUUCUCCAGACUGCCACACUGGCUUACUCAGCUCUGACCACCAGAAACAUUACUCCAGUGUCCCACCACUCUGGACAAGUGGGAAGAAAACAAGCAGCAAACAAGGCAGACAAAAUUGGAAGUAAUCACGAAAAUAUAGGGCGUUGAGGGAG